rnacentral:rRNA from 1 species
UAAUUGUUUAAUCUUAGCAAUGUUCGAACGUUAUCUGGUAGUUUUACUCAUGCGAGUUCUAACAAAGUAUAUCUUUGUAAGAGCGUGCAGGCGAAGAUUGAAGAAUAGAUACCUAUCUAUCUAUCCUUCAAUAGAUAGAUAGAUUCAUUCUUCAUUUUGUAGGUAGUUGUUGUGGUAGAGGCGCAACAAGCCGAUAACAAAUAGGAAAGAGCGAAAGCUUCAAUUCCCGCAAUUGGUUUUAAUAGGCCGAUUGGUCAGUUUUCUGACUACUGCAGAGGAGAAUAUUGGGCAAUGCUCGUAAGAGUGACCCAGCUAACCAGAACUCGAAAUAAGUAGAGUGUCGUAAGGGAGGAUGAUGACGUUACCUUACUAAAAGUCCAAUCUAAGUCUCGUGCCAGCCGACGCGGUUAUACGAACUGGGCGAACGUUGAAUAAAUUAAUAGGUUUUAAGGAUCUGUAGGCGGUUAUUAGAAAGAAUAACUAGAAUUCUAUGGAGGAAAAUAGAAUGCUAGAAGUAGAGAUGAUAUUCGUUGAGAUCUAGUGGAAUACUAAAGGCGAAAGCAAUUUUCCAAGUAAGAAUUGACGCUGAGAGAUGAAAGUUUGGGGAGCAAAACAGAUUAGCUACCUGAGUAGUCCAAACCGUAAACUAUUUACACUAAUUCUUUGGUUAAACUGGAAAGUAAAUAAAAAAUCAGAGGAAAAGCGAAAGGCUGUAUGUGUAACACCUUGUUAGUACUGUCUCAAGACUGAAAGCAAAAAGAUUAGACCAUUCUUAGGACCCGGUGUGGAGCAUGUUGUUUAAUACGUCAAUACGCGUAGAACCUUACCUCUCCUUGUAUGUAUAAAUAAAUAAAAUAUUUAUACACAGGUGUUGCAUGGCUGUCGGCAGUUCGUGUCGUAAGAUGUUAGGUUGAGUCCGCCAACGAACGCAAUCCAUAGUAGGAAUCAAUUCUUUCUACUAUCACUUCGAUAAGAAGGAUCAAAAUGGAAUACGAUAAGCCGUCAUGACCCUUAUGGAGUAUGGGCUACAGACGUGCUACUUGAAUCUAACAAUAAGAUGCAAAAUCGUGAGAUUGAGCAAAUCUAUGAAACAAGAUCUAAUAAGGAUUGUAGACUGAAACUCGUCUACAUGAAUCAGGAAUACCGAGUAAUCGUUUAUCAGUACGGAACGGUGAACCAAUACACUAAGGAGAUACUAACUGUCUAUCACAUCUUGGUUAUGUUUGAUGAUGGAACCAGUUGACGCUGGGACAUUCAAAAUGGAACUGAGGUGAAGUUAUAGCAAGGUAGCCGUAAGGGAACUUGCGGCUG